ensembl:lncRNA
CUAAAUCUUGGGUAUUAGCUGAUAAGAAGAGGUGUCAGAGGUGUUAUGAAACAAAUCAGAUGAAUAAUGGGCGAACUGUUAUCGCUUUCACAGACCGAAGGCGCGGCGGGCAGAGCGGCCUUCUCACCCCCUUCCCUUCACUUGUCGGGAAUUGGGGCAUUUUUCAGUCGCAUCUUCGCCCUUCUUGGGGGCGGCCUCAGAUUGCCGGCAGCUGUCUUAGAUCAGAGCUGUUUAUUCCACAGCGAAACCACUUUGGAUCGAGACGAGGGAGAGAGCGCAGAGCGGGGGCACCCUCCCGAGCCUUUGAAGCGCCUCUGGUCGUUCGUUCUCUUCUGCUCGGCAAAGUCCAAGCCCUCCACUCUCGUCACAAGGCAGAGCCCCGAGAUAAGAGAAGCGUCCUGCACACGAGCACGGUCACACGUCCGAAGUAACAGCGGACCUCCUCUCGCGUUUCCGAAGCUCGGGUGCUCGACGCCGCUAUCCGCCCCAUCCAAAGCGGUUUCUUUCCCCCUUCCCCGCUCCGCUUUUAGAAGAUAUUUCUUUAUUUGGUCAAGGAAUCCUAUCAGCGUCAGGAGAAAAGUUGUGGUUCUAAUUCUCUUAACGUAAGGAGGGGAGAGGGGAAAGAAGCUUAUCUCCCCGCUUUUUAUUUUAUUACUACUAUUGUUGUUGUUUUCAUUGGACACCGACUCGAGCACAUCGUAGCGAAUUUAGAUGCACUUGCAGGACGGGUUGUAGAGUCCACCUUCGGCAUAGGAAGGCCCUUGCGAAGCGCAGGGUGCCGAGAUGAUACAUGCAGCUCCGGAGGCUGUGGGAACCCGAAUCGGAAGCCAGCUUGCUUUUGCUUCGCUUCCCACCGCCAUCCGCUUUCCAAUCCGCGUAAAAGGCUUUUGGUUUUGUCUUAAAAGGCAUCUGAGAACCAACCGUUCGGAAUAAGCAAGGAGUGUGUGAAGGGGGAAUCACCCAAACCUGUAGGAAGCUGGAAUUGGCCCUCUGCGCUUCGACAGCGAAUAGCAGCCACCAGGGAAAGUCACUUCUGGGGUGACAGUCAUCUCAUCCUGAAGCAAAUGUAUAAACUAGGUCAGAUAAAACUUUACUUGCAAUAAAAGGAUCUGGAAGGAGACUGGCUGAGGCAUCAAUUUCGACACUGAAGAGGUCUACGUAUGGACUGGAAAGAAGUGUACAAGCAGCCACUCCUGAAACACAUCAGAAACUCUGCUUUCAGCUUCUCUUCUGGCAAUGCUGGAACUUCCAGAAGAGUCAUUGAUGCCUGCCUAAUUCUGCUGAAGCAAUCAGGAGAAGAUUCAGAUUGGAUUUACUACCAGCAGUGGAAGGGGAGAACUAGAAACAGAAGGGAGAUAUGGAUUUCCAUUCCUACUUCCAUCCACUGUAUGCUGUGGUGAGCACCAGUGCAGUUACUAAAACCCAAUGGUGACAUCGAUGGCUGAAUGUUGUUCAUGGAAGUGGCUUCAUGAUCUAGACUCACAGAGUGCUUGGUCUUCUCAUCUGCUUCCUGAGAUUUGUCUUUUGGGAUUGUUCUUUACUUCCCACGUUCAAAAGUGAACUGGGCAGCCACAUGCAUUUCUUUUACUGAACCCAGAGUAGAGAUAAGCUGUUAUUAAUUUAUUAUGGGUUUCUUCAUGAAAUGAAUACAUUUCUUUCAGCUAUUUCUUUCACUAGUUUAGAACUAAUAUAUUGCCAACACUAUUUUCCUGUAGAAAAAAGGACUGGAAGAAAUGGUACAAAAUCCAUAGCAGAGAUAGAUCCAGGAGCCAACUGCCUUCAUUUGUUUAGAUUCACUGUAGAACUCAGUGUAAUUAAAUCUGCUCCCGGUUCAGUAAGAUUGAUGGAGGAAAGAAACCUAGGAAACUUCAGGGAGGGAGAAGAGAGGUUGCAAAAAUCACCAGAUGGCGCUGGUAGAUACGGCGUGCCAGAACAACACAGGCUGUGAGCACUUCUCUGCCUCUGGACCAAGGCAACUUUAUGGCUGGAUUGCAUUGCAUGAUCUGAACAUAUGGUGCUAUGCAUUGGUGGUUUUCAUUUGGUGGUCUCCCCAAACAUAUUGCACAUAUUAUGUGUUGUACAUUUUCAGAAUUAAGAAAUAAAG